rnacentral:pre_miRNA from 1 species
CAACCACUCCCUCUAUCCCAAAAUUCUUGUCUUAGAUUUGUCUAGAUACGGAUGUAUCUAAUACUAAAAUGUGACUUGAUACAUCCAUAUCUAGACAAAUCUAAAACAAGAAUUUUGGGAUGGAGGGAGUACUUU